AAAGAAUUUACCAUAACUGUGACACCACUCAAAAGCAGGGAGUUGUACAAAAUUCCAAAAAAAAAAAAAAAGAAAGAAAAUAGAUUUAUCUUCAAAGGUCUACCCAUUGUCUAAGCAGAGAAGGAAAUCAAAGAGCAAAGCCCAUUCCUCAUAUUCUUCUUCUGCAUAUAUCUCGAGUAUUAAGACUCCUAUGUGCUGCCCACCAUAAGAACUCCUUCCACUUUUUUGGGGACUUUAAACUUCCAAAUCAAGUUAGCAAGUGCAAGUCUGAGGGAAGUUCUAUUUCCAGCUAGCUUCAAA